GAAGACAGUCAUGGAGGAAUUUCUGGAAUUGUGCAACUUUCUUGUUACAUAAGAAAACAGUUUUCAUUCCAGCUCUUUGCUUGAGCAUGUCAGGCUCAGUAUGUAAACAAGCAUUUUUUCCCAAUGACUCACACAAUCUUCGACUUUGAAUCAACAUCAGAUUUACAGAGAUUCAGAGAUGAUGGUCACUAACGCUCUCGGUGUGUUCAUGUUCAUUACAGCACUGAUUGUCGCUGAAGGCUCCUGGGGUUCUGGUAUGUUUAUAACAUCCUCAUUGCAUGAGUUUAUUAAGCCUUAUGGAAAUGAAGCCUAAGUAUAAUAAAAUUUGUUUUUCAAAAUGUCCAAAAAAUUAUAAAAAAGAUUAAGCACACUUCAAAGAGAUUACAAUAUGUGAACUGUACAGAAUAGUGUGCACGUUAUACAUAUUAUACACACAUUAACUGUACAGGACUUAUACUAAUAUAAUAUGUAUAUUUUUUAUUAUCAGUUAAAAAGAGAAACUCAUACAGUUAUGACCUGUCGAGUAGGUCUGACCUGACCAAGCUCUUUAACUCUAAAGUGUAUAAGGCUUAACGGAUGACACGACCACUUCAUGGCAAGAGAAAUGAGAGAGGAAUAUUUAGUCACUCAGGACUCAGAGUGACUCUGGAAGAUGGCACUAAGUGGUUGGUGCAUAAAGAAAAAGAGCGAGAAGCCUAAAACUUCGAUGGGAAAAAGACGGUGUCAGAUUUAGUGAAAGCAGGAGGAACUAAAUACAGUCUGCUGUUCAAUAACUGUCACAACGCUGCAAGGAGGAUGAUGAAAGACUAAACACACUGAAAUACACACUUCAGAACCACGACAUAAAGCUGGAGGACAAACUUGAAAUCCUACCUGUGCAUACACACUCAGGAGUGCACACUUACACAGCUCUAUGUGAUACAAGUGUGCACUUCUAUGGUCACUUUGUAGUGUGUGUCUAUAUGUAUUUACCAAACCACACACUCCCGGCGCACAUAGUAUACUUCCUAUAACAUAAUAUUUGCUUUAUUGUGAUUUGUGAUAUAACCAGUUGUCAUGGUAAUUGGUAAAGCCUUGUUGUGAGUGCUGAAACACUUUGGUUUCUAGCUAACGUUAGUGUACAUGUACUAUGGAAAUAUCAAUGUGCAGUUUCGGAUGCAACCCUUAUGUUUGUUUAUGUUUUGAGGAGCAGCGCAAGUCAACACACUGAACCCUGUGAGGAUCAGCGUGACUUUAGAAAUACGGUGCUCUUUAGCGCUUGUCACUCGUGCCAUCACAUCCAUAAAGACAACAUAGAUGAAGCUCCUUACACUUAGAUCCUUGAGGUUAGAGCAAGGAUUAUUAUAAAAGAUAAGUAAUUGGAGAAUGUGGGAAUGAUUGAACCUUUACAGGGUCAAAUACGGGACUGGAAGACAGUCAUGGAGGAAUUUCUGGAAUUGUGCAACUUUCUUGUUACAUAAGAAAACAGUUUUCAUUCCAGCUCUUUGCUUGAGCAUGUCAGGCUCAGUAUGUAAACAAGCAUUUUUUCCCAAUGACUCACACAAUCUUCGACUUUGAAUCAACAUCAGAUUUACAGAGAUUCAGAGAUGAUGGUCACUAACGCUCUCGGUGUGUUCAUGUUCAUUACAGCACUGAUUGUCGCUGAAGGCUCCUGGGGUUCUGUUAAAAAGAGAAACUCAUACAGUUAUGACCUGUCGAGUAGGUCUGACCUGACCAAGCUCUUUAACUCUAAAGUGUAUAAGGCUUAACGGAUGACACGACCACUUCAUGGCAAGAGAAAUGAGAGAGGAAUAUUUAGUCACUCAGGACUCAGAGUGACUCUGGAAGAUGGCACUAAGUGGUUGGUGCAUAAAGAAAAAGAGCGAGAAGCCUAAAA